ACGGGUGAGUAAUGUCUGGGAAACUGCCUGAUGGAGGGGGAUAACUACUGGAAACGGUAGCUAAUACCGCAUAACGUCGCAAGACCAAAGAGGGGGACCUUCGGGCCUCUUGCCAUCAGAUGUGCCCAGAUGGGAUUAGCUAGUAGGUGGGGUAACGGCUCACCUAGGCGACGAUCCCUAGCUGGUCUGAGAGGAUGACCAGCCACACUGGAACUGAGACACGGUCCAGACUCCUACGGGAGGCAGCAUGC
rnacentral:rRNA from 1 species